rnacentral:rRNA from 1 species
UGAGGAAUAUUGGUCAAUGGACGGAAGUCUGAACCAGCCAAGUAGCGUGCAGGAUGACGGCCCUCCGGGUUGUAAACUGCUUUUAGUUGGGAAUAAAAAAAGGGACGUGUCCCUUAUUGUAUGUACCUUCAGAAAAAGGACCGGCUAAUUCCGUGCCAGCAGCCGCGGUAAUACGGAAGGUCCAGGCGUUAUCCGGAUUUAUUGGGUUUAAAGGGAGCGUAGGCGGAUUGUUAAGUCAGCGGUUAAAGGGUGUGGCUCAACCAUACAUUGCCGUUGAAACUGGCGAUCUUGAGUGCAGACAGGGAUGCCGGAAUUCGUGGUGUAGCGGUGAAAUGCUUAGAUAUCACGAAGAACUCCGAUCGCGAAGGCAGGUGUCCGGGCUGCAACUGACGCUGAGGCUCGAAAGUGUGGGUAUCAAACAGGAUUAGAUACCCUGGUAGUCCACACAGUAAACGAUGUAUACUCGCGGUUUGCGAUAGACAGUAAGCCGCCAGCGAAAGCAUUAAGUAUACCACCUGGGGAGUACGCCGGCNCGGU